rnacentral:rRNA from 1 species
GACGAAUCGUCCUAACGUUGUUCGGAAUCACUGGGCUUAAAGGGCGCGUAGGCGGACCCGCCCGUCCGGGGUGAAAGCUUUCGGCUCAACCGGAAAAGUGCCUUGGAAACUGCGGGUCUGGAGGGAGGUAGGGGCAUGUGGAACUUCUGGUGGAGCGGUGAAAUGCGUUGAUAUCAGAAGGAACGCCGGUGGCGAAAGCGACGUGCUGGACCUCUACUGACGCUGAGGCGCGAAAGCCAGGGGAGCAAACGGGAUUAGAUACCCCGGUAGUCCUGGCCCUAAACGAUGGGAACUGGGUAGCGGACUGUACUGGGUUCGCUGCCGCAGCUAAAGUGCUAAGUUCCCCGCCUGGGGAGUAUGGUCGCAAGGCUGAA